CGGAACAUAGCGCAGAUGGAAGAGCACUCGGCUUAUAUCCGAGCGGUCGCAGGUUCAAUUCCUGCUGUUCCGA
rfam:Roseburia sp. 831b contig000001, whole genome shotgun sequence.